GGGCACUUGGUCUAGGGGUAUGAUUGUAAGAACAACCCCCAUAAAUCUCCUCACAACCCCUCCUAACAUGCCUUAGUUCGCUUCGCACACAACUACACGUGAGUUUGUGAAAGGUCGUGGGUUCAAUUCCCACAGUGUCCA